AUGGCGUGGAGCGGCGAGGGGAGGGACUGGGCCGCGGCGGACUCGGCGGCGGAGGGAGGAGCGCGGCUGCGGGCGGGCGGCGAGCGAGGCGCUCAAAGUCAGCCUCGCAGACAUUGCAGCAGAGCCCCGAACUCGGGAGGAGGCGGCGGCGGCGGCGGCGGCGGCGCGGCGGUGGCGGAGGAGGCGGAGGAGGCGGAGGAGGCGGAGGAGGCGGCGGCCGAGGCGGAGGGACGACCCGGCCCCAAGCCCUCCCUCCCGCCAGCGCACGCCUGCCGGUGGCCCCGCGGCCGCCACUGUGCUUGGCAGCACUGCUGCUCUGAGGGAAGAGCUCGCCGGGGCGCCGGGGAAGGACGGGGCGGCGGGGCGCCUUCGUGGAGUGAGCCUGACGGAACCCAGGCUCGGAGCCGCGGCGGCCUCGGGGAGCUUUUGGACUGUGAGCUAUUUCAGAACUCUGUUCUCAGGACCUGUUAUUUUAACAGUCAGGAGAAACACAUCCAGAAGUACUUACCUCUUCCUUUUUAAAAGAAAUCAACUUUACUUUCUUGACAUCCAGUGCUAACAGUACAUGUUAUUGGCUACUUUUUAAAGACGAAAAUCCUCCCUCUGCUGAAAAGCCCUCAUCUUGGUUGUAGUAAAAUUUAAAGUUCCUGUCUUUGCUGACCAGGCCAUCGCAUCUUCUUAAUGAGGCCUUGCCUGGCAACCAUUCCACUCUGAGUGGAGGCUUCCCCUCUUUCCUGUCUCCUCUUUUCUUUUUCCACAGCACUUAUCACCUUUAAAGCUACCAUGACAUUAAUUUUUUAAAAUUAUUGUUUAAUGAUUAUUUUCCUCUUCUAAAGUGAAAGCUGUCUGAGGGCAGGAAUUUUUUUAUGUUGUGUUCAUCACAAUAUAUCUGAAAGAACCAAGAGUAAUGCUGGGUUUCAGUUGGUACAGCUACUACAGAACACAGUGUGGAGGUUCCUCAAAAAACUAAGAACUACCAUCUGAUCCAGUAAUCCGACUUCUGGGCAUAUAUAUCUAAAGAAAUUGGAAUCAGGAUCUUGAAGAGCUAUCGGCACUCCUAUAUUCUUCUCAGAAGUAUUCACAGUAGCCAAGACAUGAAAGCAACCCACGUGUCCAUCGACAUGUGAAUGCAUCAAGAAAAUGCAGUAUUUCCAUACCUUAAAAAAGAAGGAAGUCCCAUCAUUUGUGACAACAUGGAUGAACCUAAAGGACAUUAUCCUAAGUAAAAUAAGCUAGCCAGAAGCACAAAUACUACAUGAUCUCGCUUCUGUGAGGAAUCCAAAAAGUCAAACUCCUAGAAGCAGAGAAUAGAAUGGUGGUUACUAGGAAUUGGGAGGAAGAGGAAACUGAGGUUUUGGUCAAAAGGUAUAAACUUAAAUUAUGCAAGAGGAAUAAAUCCUAGGGAUCUACUGUACCGCACAGUAUCUAGAGUUAGCAAUAAUGUAUUUUAUACUUAAAAAUUUGCUAAGAGGUAUGUUCGGUGUUCUAAUCACACAAAAAAUAAGGAGGGCAGGAAAAAACUUCUGAAGGUGUUGGAUAUAUUUAUGGCAUUGAGUACUUACUUCCAAACUCAUCAAGUUGUACAGCAUUUUGUAUAUCAGUUAUUCCUUUAAAAAUUGUUGUUGUUUGAUGAUAGGCAUUUAGAAGGAGCUCAUAAAUAUUUAUUGCCUAAAUAUUUCUUGAAUGCAUGGAGAAACUGCACUUUUUCCCCACUCCUGGAAAUUUGCCUUUAGGAAUUUUCUGGGGGUGGGCGCCUGGGUGGCUCAGUUGGUUAAGCGACUGCCUUCGGCUCAGGUCAUGAUCCUGGAGUCCCGGGAUCGAGUCCCACAUCGGGCUCCCUGCUCAGCAGGGAAGUCUGCUUCUCCCUCUGACCCUCUUCCCUCUCGUGCUCUCUAUCUCUCAUUCUCUCUCUCUCUCUCAAAUAAAAUCUUUAUUAAAAGGAAUUUUCUGGGGGCAGGGAAUAUUUAAAGCAAGAGAAAACAAAGAUCUUCAGUUGUAUAUAUAAUAAUACAUUUUGAUAAUUUGAAUUAGUUGAAAAUAGUUUGUUCAUCAAACUGAUACGUAUCUACCUAUAUGAAAGGUAACAUGUAAAUAUGAGGUUUCCAAAAUACAGAGUUUAUUAUUGUGGUCAAGUAAUUUAUCUUUUGGCUAUUUAUAUGUGUAUUUUUCCAUUUGGGUCAUAAAAAUAAUGUUGGUAAUCAGUUAGAGAAAUAUAUUUAUAAGAUACUUCUUUCAUUCUUAUGACAUAUAGAGAUACACAUUGUAUUUUGGUAUCUUAAAAUUAGUAUGAAUCAAACAGACCUCGGUAGUUUUUAAGAAAUAAUUUAUAUGUAGCAAAGUAUAGAUUGCCUUUCAAUUUAGUAGACAUUUUCUAGUUGUAGUUUUUAGAGUUUUAUUUUUAAGACAUUUACAAUAAAUGUCUUUAAAAUAGUACAAAAAUGUAAUCAAAGACAUACUAAGAAGUGGUGUAUGCUACCUUAGAAUACAUUAAAAAGAGUUGUUAUAAGUGGUUUUUCCAAAACGGUGAAUGGUAUGGUAUGUGAUUAUAUCUCAAAAGCUGUAAAAAAUGUAAAAAAAUAAUUUUUUCUAAUUAAAAAAAAAAAAUGGUUUUUCCAAAGUAGAAUAGGUAACUUUAUGUGAUAAUUUAAGCAAAGUUUUUCUUGGAAGUCUGUUUACAAGUGUUUGGUUUAUUUUAUGCCUUUAUAUAUCAACACAUGAUAUAUAUGACUAUUUUAGUAAUCAUUUUCAUGAGAACAGGAAGAACUAUAAGUUUGGGUUUAUUUCUUUCUCUUUCCACUGCCGUUUUCCAAAUUCAAGUGUUCGUGCUUCAUGCUCCUUAGACAGUUACUGCAGUCACUUUCUAACUGGUCUUUUUGCCUUUUUGUUUUUAUUAUUCAACCCAUUCUACACACCAUAGGACAAUAAACCUUUCUGAAGGAAGCGUUAAAAUUCUGAACAAAGGCCUUCGCCUAACAAGAUAAAGGCCAGGUCCUAUUUUUAUCUGGCUCCUACUUAUGCCAGCAUCAUAUUCCAUUUGCUUCACCCUCAAAGACGUUAACCGCACAUUUCAUAUGCUACCUCACGGGUUGUACCAUCUUGAUCACAGGUGUCUUGUGAUCCCUGCUCAUUUUCUUUUACUAAAAACGCUACCUGUUCUGUGAUUUGAAUAAUCACCCUGAAGUGCCCUCUUCUAUUCUCCCUUAGUAGUUGAUGAGUAACAUUCACACUGCAUUUAUUUUAUUCAUCUGUUUUGCAAGAUUGUAAACUUCCAAAGGGAAGGGAUCAUAUCUUUUAUAAAUCUGUGAUUUGUAAAGCACCCAGCUUCAAGCCUUACAUGUAUAGGGUGAUUAAUCAAAAUGUUGAUGAGUCAGCAACUCCAGGGUAUAUCCUGGAGCUUUAGAAACAAUUAAGAGAAGUAUACAAAUUCAUCCUGUACCCUGUUGCACAAGUUACUUAAGCUUAGGGUGCAACAAUUUUUACAUGUGGUUUGAAGAUUUUACAUGCAGUUAGAAAUUUGUAGGUUCCAAAGUGUGAUCAAAGCAUUUGUGAUAGUUCUCAAACUGUGUUUUGUGGACUAUAUAAGUUUCUUAGUCUUCAUGUAAAAUAUAUAGAAUGUUGUUUUAAUGUUCCUUACCUGACUAAUGACAAGAUUGAUUUAAUAUGUUAGCUAAAUGUUUACUGUAAUAAGUCUCUUUACAAUUCAUCUGAAACAAGAAAGAAAAUAGAAGAUGCCUUUGGUGAAAGUAAUAAAUUACCUGUGUGAAUGCAACAAUUUGAGAGAUGAAUGAAUUUGAAAGUUUUGUUAACAACUUUCCAAAACUGAUCCUUAAUUCAUCAUAUUGAAUUACAUGGAGUAAAAUACAUUUUUUGAAGGGCAUCAUCUCACAGAUUUCCAUAAAUUUCUCAAAGGUGACCCCAUCCCUGUCAAUUCUAUUUCCUAGGAGUAUUUAAAAUUAAAUAGCUCACCAGGCUAGUGGACGUUCUAAAUGGGACUAAAAUCAGGAUAAUGAAUUUUUUUUUUUAAUUGGGG
rnacentral:lncRNA from 1 species